CCUGAAACCACAGUGAUUUGGAGAAAAGGAGGCUUAGGUAAAGCCUGAGCCGAUGAUCACACUCAAGUGGAAAACCACCGAUGAACUAAGCCAUCUGAAUGCUGAGAGAGACAAAGUGAGUGAAGGAGAAUCCACAAGAAUGCCAAGGUUCCCAUUUGAACAGAGCAAAUAUAGAAACAUGAAGAAGUUGGUGACUCGCAGGUCAGCAUGCAGUGGCACACAGGUCGACGUGCAGUGGCAUGGGAGGUUUUCCUCUGACCCACUGGAGGAAGUUACAAGCGUGUGAAGAACUUGGCCUGGAUACAUCACUUUCACUAGAAUGUGUACACACAGAUGAUAUGGGUUAGACGGGGACCUGUUCAUCAGGAGCCAAAGGAGACCAUUUCGGAGAUCUGCAACUGAUCAAAAUGCAAAGAACAACUGACCAUCAGGUGCCCAGCCCCAGCUGACACACCUGUAACACAACUCCUGCACCUAAUACUCAGGGAACAUCAUGGAAGAUAGAUCAGAAAGACUGUAAGAGCCAGAGGACCUGUGUAACAGGAGGUCUACUGUAAGAUCCUGUUUCUUCAUAUGUAACAGGAGAUCUACUGUAAGAUCCUGUUUCUUCAUAUGUAACAGGAGAUCUACUGUAAGAUCCUGUUUCUUCAUAUGUAACAAGAGGUCUAUUAUAAGAUCCUGUUUUUUUAUAUGUAACAGGAGGUUUACUGUAAGAUCCUGUUUCUUCACAUGUAACAAGAGGUCUACUGUAAGAUCCUGUUUCUUCAUAUGUAAAGGGGAGCUGCAGUCAUGAAAUCUCAAUAUACGACUGCUUCAGCAAGACCUGGACAAUGACAAUACCAUUUGAUAUGCCAUGUGGGACCACUUCUAGAGGAAGAACUUCAGGCAAUUAACAGUUCCUGAGAGAUUUAUCUUCUCCAAAGAUGAACUCCCUGAAAGGCUACCCAAUCCCCAUGUCAGUCCUAAAAACAUAUGCAUACAAGCCACACUAAAUGCAAUCAACUGGUUUCUUGUGUACACAUAUACAUGUAUGUAUAUACACAUACUAUGUAUGUAUAUACAGUAUAUGUGCACAUGUAACACACAUUACAACAAUAAAGAAUAAGAAGCCAUGAAUUUGUGGAGUAAGGUAAAACAUGGGAGAAACUGGAGGGCAGAAAUGAUGUAAAUAUGUUUUAAUUUAAAAGAUUAAAGACAACAACCACAACCACAAUAAAGCGAUUACUUGAAGGAACUCCUA